rnacentral:rRNA from 1 species
AGGACGAACGCUGGCGGCGUGCCUAACACAUGCAAGUCGAACGCGCUCCAUUCGGUAGCAAUACUGAUGAAGAGCGAGUGGCGAACGGGUGAGUAGCACGUGAGCAACCUGCCCCGAAGACCGGGACAACACCGGGAAACCGGUGCUAAUACCGGAUAUCCCUAUCGGACCGCAUGAUCUGAUAAGGAAAUGGAUUCCGCUUCGGGAGGGGCUCGCGGCCUAUCAGCUAGUUGGUGAGGUAACGGCCCACCAAGGCAUCGACGGGUAGCUGGUCUGAGAGGACGAUCAGCCACACUGGGACUGAGACACGGCCCAGACUCCUACGGGAGGCAGCAGUGGGGAAUCUUGCGCAAUGGGCGAAAGCCUGACGCAGCAACGCCGCGUGGAGGACGAAGGCUUUCUGAGUUGUAAACUCCUUUCAGCAGGGACGAUAGUGACGGUACCUGCAGAGAGCACCGGCAACUACGUGCCAGCAGCCGCGGUAA